UCGAGAAUUUUUCUCAAUGGGGGCAACCCUGAAGGAGCGACGCCGCGUGGAGGAUGAAGGCUUUCGGGUUGUAAACUCCUGUCAUUUGAGAACAAGGGUUAGCAAGUAACUACUGCUAGCUUGAUAGUAUCAGAAGAGGAAGGGACGGCUAACUCUGUGCCAGCAGCCGCGGUAAUACAGAGGUCCCAAGCGUUGUUCGGAUUCAUUGGGCGUAAAGGGUGCGUAGGUGGCGUCGUAAGUCAGAUGUGAAAUCUCGGGGCUUAACUCCGAAACUGCAUUUGAUACUGCGGUGCUUGAGGACUGGAGAGGAGACUGGAAUUUACGGUGUAGCAGUGAAAUGCGUAGAGAUCGUAAGGAAGACCAGUGGCGAAGGCGGGUCUCUGGACAGUUCCUGACACUGAGGCACGAAGGCCAGGGGAGCAAACG
rnacentral:rRNA from 2 species